CUCCUCUUGCUCCCCACGAUUACCCAAAAAGGGAGAGCUGCGCAGGCGCAGAGGCUCGAUGCCGGUGACCAGGAGUCAGGCUGUGGCCCGCACUGUCCUCGCCCUGCGGGGCGGAGGAAGACCAAAGGAAGCUGAGGCUUGGCGCCAGGCUCCGUCCGAGUGCGGUAGGCUGGCCUGGCCCCCGGCCAGGGACAACCUCCGGGACCCUUGACCAUACUGGACAGCGCAGUGACCACUGUCGCCCGCGCAAGCGUCAGUCGGUGGUUUUUGGCUGGUGACGUCUGCCCUGCCGCAGGGCGGGCACGAGGGUCCGGAUGCCCUUCCUCAGCUGGCCACGCCCGCCCGCAGCCUGUGGCACGUAGCACGGGGUGACCCCGCUGCUCUCUCCGGUUCCCUCCCCCUACGACUGCCUUCCCGUCAGCACAGGAGCGAGGCCCGGUCAGGGCUCGGGAUUCUCUGCUUACAGCGUUUGCUACGGGUGGUGACAGAGCCCUGGGGACUGGAUGAAUGAAGUUCAGAAGCAGAGACGCUGGAGACAAAGCCCCCCUUUCUGUGAAGGCCAGGAGUGCUGCUGCUGACAGCCUGGGGCCGCAUGGGGGGGCUCUGGGGAGCGCACACGCCAGUCACAGACCACAGGCCCUGAGGACGCACAGGUGGGGAUGGACGCUGCGGGCUGUGAGGGCAGAGGAGCUCCCACUCCAGCUAGCCCUAGAAUGGCCAACGUGGGGCUGGGGGCUUCCUCUCACA